GAAAGAGAUGAGCAUAGGUUCCUCCCAAGAUGCCACCCGCUUCAUUCAAGUGCCUGGCAGCACUGUGUUCCUGUUAGAGCCACCAGCACAAGCACCAGACGAUGCUGAUCCAGUGAGUACUCCAUCAAAGGCAUACUGUAGGCCUGGCAUGUCUUGUCUACUAGCUUCAAUAUGAAUCCGAUUAAAUGUGAUCGGGUGAAGGCCCCAGUGCAGCAGCAACAGCACAUGAUGGAGACGAUGAUGAGGAGGAGACCAUCUCUCUGGAUUCCAGAAGGCAUGAGGACCCAGAUGCUAUACAGUGGGAAAACCAGCCUGGCAACAUAGUGCGUAUUAAUAAAGGACACCACAUCCUGCCC